rnacentral:rRNA from 1 species
UGGGGUAAAGGCCUACCAAGGCAAUGAUGCGUAGCCGAUUUGAGAGAAUGAUCGGCCACAUUGGGACUGAGACACGGCCCAAACUCCUACGGGAGGCAGCAGUAGGGAAUUUUGCACAAUGGGCGAAACCCUGAUGGAGCAAUGCCGCGUGUGUGAUGAAGGCUUUCGGGUUGUAAAGCACUUUUGUACGGGAAGAACUCGUAGUUUGGGAAAUUAUUUUAGUUUGACGGUACCGUACCAGAAAGGACCGGCUAACUACGUGCCAGCAGCCGCGGUAAUACGUAGGUCCCAAGCGUUAUUCGGAAUUAUUGGGCGUAAAGCGUGCGCAGGCGGUUUAUUAAGUCUGAUGUGAAAUCCCGGAGCUCAACUCCGGAAUGGCAUUGGAAACUGGUUAACUUGAGUGCAGUAGAGGUAAGUGGAACUCCAUGUGUAGCGGUGGAAUGCGUAGAUAUAUGGAGGAAUCCCCAGUGCCRAAGGCGGCUCCCUGGACAACAACUACUGUGAGCUCGGACGUAAAC